rnacentral:rRNA from 1 species
GAUGAACGCUGGCGGCGUGCCUAAUACAUGCAAGUCGAGCGAAUGGAUUGAGAGCUUGCUCUUAUGAAGUUAGCGGCGGACGGGUGAGUAACACGUGGGUAACCUGCCCAUAAGACUGGGAUAACUCCGGGAAACCGGGGCUAAUACCGGAUAACAUUUUGAACCGCAUGGUUCGAAAUUGAAAGGCGGCUUCGGCUGUCACUUAUGGAUGGACCCGCGUCGCAUUAGCUAGUUGGUGAGGUAACGGCUCACCAAGGCAACGAUGCGUAGCCGACCUGAGAGGGUGAUCGGCCACACUGGGACUGAGACACGGCCCAGACUCCUACGGGAGGCAGCAGUAGGGAAUCUUCCGAAAUGGACGAAAGUCUGACGGAGCAACGCCGCGUGAGUGAGGAAGGCUUUCGGGUCGUAAAACUCUGUUGUUAGGGAAGAACAAGUGCUAGUUGAAUAAGCUGGCACCUUGACGGUACCUAACCAGAAAGCCACGGCUAACUACGUGCCAGCCGCCGCAGUAA